UAACGAGCGCAACCCUACCCUUUAGUUGCCAUCAGGUAAUGCUGGGGACGUCUAAAGGAACUGCCUACGCAAGUAGUGAGGAAGCGGGGAGUGACGUCAAAUCAGCACGGCCCUUACGUCCAGGGCUACACACGUGCUACAAUGGCCGAUACAGAGGGCAGCUACCUGGUGACAGGAUGCAAAUCUCCAAAGUCGGUCUCAGUUCGGAUCGGAGUCUGCAACCCGACUCCGUGAAGUUGGAUUCGCUAGUAAUCGCGCAUCAGCCAUGGCGCGGUGAAUACGUUCCCGGGCCUU
rnacentral:rRNA from 1 species